ensembl:lncRNA
CAAAAGCCUGGGCAGGGAAUGCAGCCUGGCCCAUCUCUGCAGAGAGGGGAAACGUACCCACUUCCCUCAGCCAUUGCCAAGAGGCCCAUACUUCAGGGCCACUUCCCUCUGGCGCAUGGCUAGUUGCGUCUGCACUGGUGUUGGUGGGUGUUUGAACUCCUGCCCUCUUCCUAUAAGGAGACUCCGGACCUAAAUCUCCUAUCCUCUGCUGUUGGCAAUCUCUUUAUCAGUGACUCGCAGCCUCAAACUUUUCUAUCACGAAAGGAAAAACCAGUGAAGAGAGCCCAGUGCCAGGCCUAUCUGCCUUCAGUGGCUGGCUCCUGUUCCCUCCUCAGGGCUCCCUGUUGUGCAACCUGGACCUGCCCCAAUAGUGGGAUUUAAGAACAAACAUCUGUGUAGACCCAUUUCCAGAAGAUACUGCACCAAAUGCUCUUUUGACCCCUGAACAUGCUGUAUCAGAUUUAACCCCAGCAAAACCCUAUAAGGAUCGCAGCAUUGGGUCUUCCUGGAUGUCACACAAACACCUUUGCCAGCCCAGCACAGGGUCCCUGCCCUCAGCAGUGUAGUGAGUAGGCAUCUGCAGACACCUCUGAUGAUUCAUUCUUGGCCUCGCUCUCCAGAGCAUCAUCAGCAGGGCAUUUUCUGGCUCCAGGGAGGAAGUGUGGCUAGCAAGAGAAGAGCAGGAGGGCCAGUCCUUCCUCAGCCUGCUGAGUCAGACCCCUGACGCUUAAAGAAACAAGAAACACAGGCUCCCUCUGCUCCCUCUCUCAUCUGGUAUUCCAGAUCCCUUCAAGGCAUCUUGUUCUUCCAGGAGCUGCUGAGAAGGUGUGAUUCAUUUCAGGCAGAGUCCCCUGAACCCAAAGUACUGAGCCUCCUGUCCCCAGCAAAUGUCUUAAACUGAAUUUGAUGCUGACUCC